ACAUCUUCUCCCACUCUUCCCUGUAG
rnacentral:piRNA from 1 species